UACGGGGGGGGGCAAGCGUUGUUCGGAAUUACUGGGCGUAAAGGGCUCGUAGGCGGCCAACUAAGUCGGAUGUGAAAUCCCCCAAGCUUAACUUGGGAACUGCAUCCGAUACUGGAUGGCUUGAAUCCGGGAGAGGGAUGCAGAAUUCCAGGUGUAGCGGUGAAAUGCGUAGAUAUCUGGGAGGAAUACCGGUGGCGAAGGCGGCAUCCUGGACCGGCAUUGACGCUGAGGAGCGAAAGCUAGGGGAGCAAAGCGGG
rnacentral:rRNA from 1 species